GUGCUGACUUUGGCAGCACAUACACUAAAAUUGGAACGAUACAGAGAAGAUUGUCAUGGCCUCUGUGCCAGUAUGACACGCAAAUCGCGAAACGUUCCAUAUUUAA
ensembl:snRNA U6 U6 spliceosomal RNA